rnacentral:rRNA from 1 species
CAGUAGCCGCGGGAAUACGGAGGGUGCAAGCGUUAUCCGGAUUCGCUGGGUUUAAAGGGUGCGUAGGCGGAUCUGUAAGUCAGUGGUGAAAUCUCCAGGCUUAACCUGGAAACUGCCGUUGAUACUAUAGGUCUUGAAUUUUGUGGAGGUUAGCGGAAUAUGUCAUGUAGCGGUGAAAUGCAUAGAUAUGACAUAGAACACCAAUUGCGAAGGCAGCUGGCUACACAACUAUUGACGCUGAGGCACGAAAGCGUGGGGAUCAAACAGGAUUAGAUACCCCCGUAGUCCCUGUCUCUUAUAC